rnacentral:rRNA from 1 species
ACGGCUCAGUAACACGUAGUCAACAUACCCAAAGGACGUGGAUAACCUCGGGAAACUGAGGAUAAACCGCGAUAGGUCAUAAGUACUGGAAUGUUUUAUGGCUCAAAUCUACAUGGCCUCUGGAUUGGACUGCGGCCGAUCAGGCUGUUGGUGAGGUAAUGGCCCACCAAACCUGUUACCGGUACGGGCUCUGAGAGGAGGAGCCCGGAGAUGGGCACUGAGACAAGGGCCCAGGCCCUAUGGGGCGCAGCAGGCGCGAAACCUCUGCAAUAGGCGAAAGCUUGACAGGGUUACUCUGAGUGAUUCCCGCUAAGGGAAUCUUUUGGCAUCUCUAAAAACGAUGCAGAAUAAGGGGUGGGCAAGUCUGGUGUCAGCCGCCGCGGUAAUACCAGCACCCCGAGUGGUCGGGACGAUUAUUGGGCCUAGGAGGCGGGAGAGGCAAGCGGUACUCAGUGGGUAGGGGUAAAAUCCUCUGAUCCAUUGAAGACCACCAGUGGCGAAGGCGGCUUGCCAGAACGCGCUCGACGGUGAGGGAUGAAAGCUGGGGGAGCAAACCGGAUUAGAUACCCGGGUAGUCCCAGCUGUAAACGAUGCAGACUCGGUGAUGGGCCGGCUUCAUGCCGGCUCAGUGCCGCAGGGAAGCCGUUAAGUCUGCCGCCUGGGGAGUACGGUCGCAAGACUGAAACUUAAAGGAAUUGGCGGGGGAGCACCACAAGGGGUGAAGCCUGCGGUUCAAUUGGAGUCAACGCCGGAAAUCUUACCGGGGGCGACAGCAGAGUGAAGGUCAAGCUGAAGACUUUACCAGACAAGCUGAGAGGAGGUGCAUGGCCGUCGCCAGCUCGUGCCGUGAGGUGUCCUGUUAAGUCAGGUAACGAGCGAGACCCCCACC